GACGAACGCUGGCGGCGUGCCUAAUACAUGCAAGUUGAGCGCUGAAGGUUGGUACUUGUACCAACUGGAUGAGCAGCGAACGGGUGAGUAACGCGUGGGGAAUCUGCCUUUGAGCGGGGGACAACAUUUGGAAACGAAUGCUAAUACCGCAUAAAAACUUUAAACACAAGUUUUAAGUUUGAAAGAUGCAAUUGCAUCACUCAAAGAUGAUCCCGCGUUGUAUUAGCUAGUUGGUGAGGUAAAGGCUCACCAAGGCGAUGAUACAUAGCCGACCUGAGAGGGUGAUAGGCCACAUUGGGACUGAGACACGGCCCAAACUCCUACGGGAGGCAGCAGUAGGGAAUCUUCGGCAAUGGACGAAAGUCUGACCGAGCAACGCCGAGUGAGUGAAGAAGGUUUUCGGAUCGUAAAAAUCGGUUGGUAGAGAAGAACGUUGGUGAGAGUGGAAAGCUCAUCAAGUGACGGUAACUACACAGAAAGGGACGGCUAACUACGUG
rnacentral:rRNA from 1 species